UACGAAGGGGGGCUAGCGUUGCUCGGAAUCACUGGGCGUAAAGCGCACGUAGGCGGAUUGUUAAGUCAGGGGUGAAAUCCUGGAGCUCAACUCCAGAACUGCCUUUGAUACUGGCGAUCUUGAGUCCGGGAGAGGUGAGUGGAACUGCGAGUGUAGAGGUGAAAUUCGUAGAUAUUCGCAAGAACACCAGUGGCGAAGGCGGCUCACUGGCCCGGUACUGACGCUGAGGUGCGAAAGCGUGGGGAGCAAACGGG
rnacentral:rRNA from 1 species